rnacentral:rRNA from 1 species
UAAGGAAUAUUGGUCAAUGGACGCAAGUCUGAACCAGCCAUGCCGCGUGAAGGAUUAAGGUCCUCUGGAUUGUAAACUUCUUUUUAUCUGGGACGAAAAAACGGCAGAUUCUUCGUCACUUGACGGUACCAGAUGAAUAAGCACCGGCUAACUCCGUGCCAGCAGCCGCGGUAAUACGGAGGGGUGCAAGCGUUAUCCGGAUUCACUGGGUUUAAAGGGUGCGUAGGCGGGGCAGGUAAGUCAGUGGUGAAAUCCUGGAGCUUAACUCCAGAACUGCCAUUGAUACUAUCUGUCUUGAAUAUUGUGGAGGUAAGCGGAAUAUGUCAUGUAGCGGUGAAAUGCUUAGAUAUGACAUAGAACACCUAUUGCGAAGGCAGCUUACUACGCAUAUAUUGACGCUGAGGCACGAAAGCGUGGGGAUCAAACAGGAUUAGAUACCCCUGGUAGUCCACGCCCCUAAACGAUGGAUACUCGACAUACGCGAUACACUGUGUGUGUCUGAGCGAAAGCAUUAAGUAUCCCCACCUGGGGAAGUACGACCGCAAGGUUGAAACUCAAAUGAAUUGACGGGGUCAUAGCUGUUUCCUG